CCUACGGGUGGCAGCAGUGAGGAAUAUUGGUCAAUGGGCGCGAGCCUGAACCAGCCAAGUCGCGUGAGGGAAGACGGUCCUAUGGAUUGUAAACCGCUUUUGUCGGGGAGCAAAAGACGCCACGCGUGGCGUUCCGAGAGUACCCGAAGAAAAAGCAUCGGCUAACUCCGUGCCAGCAGCCGCGGUAAUACGGAGGAUGCGGGCGUUAUCCGGAUUUAUGGGGGUUAAAGGGUGCGCAGGCGGAAGAUCAAGUCAGCGGUAAAAUUGAGAGGCUCAACCUCUUCGAGCCGCUGAAACUGGUUUUCUUGAGUGAGCGAGAGGUAUGCGGAAUGCGUGGUGUAGCGGUGAAAUGCAUAGAUAUCACGCAGAACUCCGAUUGCGAAGGCAGCAUACCGGCGCUUAACUGACGCUCAUGCACGAAGGUGUGGGUAUCGAACAGGAUUAGAUACCCUAGUAGUC
rnacentral:rRNA from 1 species